GGGGCACCCUGAAGAAAGGAGGAGAAUGUUCUGAGGACUUCUCUAGCUUUAAGGGCAACAGAAAUGAAUCAGAUGGGGGCCAUUUCCUUAGAAGGUCCUGUUCAGUCAUGUAUGCUGGUCCAUUCAAUCAACAAUUGGAUUUGGCUCUAUUCGUUUCCUCUGCUAAGAAUGUUAAGAUAAUGACCUGCAGGGUUCCUGAAGGCCCCACUGCCCUCUCAGAAUUCUACAGGACAGCAUAUCGGCCACGUUGAAGUGUGGAUUAAGGAUCAAGAUGGGCUCCUGAAAGAUGAAAGCUGUCAGUAUGCUUCCUACAGUCAUACAGGGGUGUCAGCACUUUGGCAGAGGUGGGAAUGGCCUGAGUUGAAGUCAACUUAACUCUGAUAUAGUUAGAGACCACCACAAGGGGACAAGAGACAAACAGACCCCUGACCCUUAACAUGCCACCUGUUAAAAGCAUACAUUCAACAUCUUUAUUAUAAAACUCUAGGCCACAAAGUAGAGUAUUUACUGACCAAAAGAAUCCCCUUCCAAGACAACUAAGUUAAAAUUCAGGCACCCCAAAAUAAGAAAGAAAAAGGGAAAUUAAAAACAAAAAACAAAAACAAAACAAAAAAAAAACCAAAAACCAAAACUCAAGUCUUCCCUUGCUUGGUGUUAGCUGGUAGCAAAAAGACUAAUCACUAACCUUGGGUUGGUUUGCACUGCAAGUGAAGGCUUCUUCAAAAUGAGAUGGUCCUUUAUGGUAGAAGUAGCUCACUAGGGGCUAGGUUCUGAAGGUUCCAUCUCUGCACCUAGCCACUCUGGGCUUCUUGGUCUCUGACUACAUGACUGCAUGUUCUUAGCCUGAUGCUCCAAACACAAAUAAUAGAACUCCUCCUCUAUGCCUUUCCCAUGACACUGGACUGAAAUCUCCUGAAAUCAUGAGGCAAAGCAAACCUCUCCUGCCACAAGCUGUUCCUGUCCAGUGUUCACAGUGACAUAGAAUAAGGAUUGAGUAGACAUUUACUUCACAUGAACCUGAUGCCUGCUUUGCUAAAGAAGCUGUCUCGUUCUAGCUCCUAAAGGUAUUUGGUGGACAACUGAAACCCCACUAAAGGCCUGGCAUCUCUGGCUUCAUAUUGUAUCUGCCCCCUCUGUUGUCUUAGCCUCUGAGUCAUGAACACAUGUUGAUAAUUGAAACUUUUGUCUGACUUGACCUGUUAACCAUGAAUGCCACCUUUUCCUCUUCCUUGUGCUUUCUUGCCUGCUUAAGCACUAACCUUAUCAGACCAAACCACAGGGCUGGGGUCCUACAGAAAAUGGAAUGUCAGUUCCUAGAUGAAGUCAUGAGCCAUGAGCCCACCACAUACAAAGCCAAAAUGGAAACAUCCCUGAAAGCCAUGCCCUUGACUGAGGAACAGCCACCAAGCUUCAGGCUUCCUCACUUGGAGUCGAGCAGCCUGGUGAUAACUUUGGCCACAACCUAUUCCCUUCACCUCUCAAGCUGAACUGCCCAUUAGUACUUAGCCUGCCUUGCAUGUAGUAUGUGGCUCCAUCUCCUUUCUUUCUUCCACAUUGCAAGGCAGUUCUGCCCUGUGUAUCACCUCUCUGGUCCUUGAGCUAGGCUCACUCCAUUACUGACUUAGUGUCAGAAUAUGCUAGGCUGGCAUGGGUUUACUUCCCUGAAAAGCGAGACAUCCUGCAGGGAUGAAGAGAGUACAGCAAUCUUCAUUGAAACCUUGAAGGUGUCUCAUAUUUGGAAUGUCUGAACGACCACACACACACACAGAGAGAGAGAGAGAGAGAGAGAGAGAGAGAGAGAGAGAGGUAUGACUAAUAUAGAAGAAACAAAUGUAUGUAAUAUGUACAAUUUUAGGAGUUUUGGUGCACACACACACCUUGGUGUCAACGUGCAAAGGUGGCAAGCACGUGUAACACUGUUCAAGGUUUCUUUGUGUCUAUGUGGUUUUUGCUGCAGUGAAUGACAUGAGAUCUAUCUUCUUUAGAUGACUAGUUAUAGCGACAACUUUGGAGUUUGGUUUCUUUGAUAAACACAAACACAUUAUAAGAAUAUGUUUUAAUUUAAUCCCAGGUGUGGGGUCUGGGGCUGCUUCAGACUCCACAGUAGCUGACUAUGAUUUGCCUGGUGUUCUAGCAGAAGUACAGUUUUCCCAGCUGCAGAGAGUUCUGAGAUUGUGUGAUGUUUGGAAUCCUGGGGACUUUUCAGAGGGUAUAUAAAUGCUAGAGCCCCAAGAGGUGGUGGGUUGCUGGUUGCUGUUGGUUGCAAUUAAGUAGUUGUGUGCAAAGAAGAAACAAGAAGAAAUUAGAUAUCCUGCCAGCAAAGAUCAAACUUGCCCCAAGGAACUCAAUGCUCCUAAUCAGCAGGAAGUAGUCUAACAAUAAUGCCACCUCUUUUCUGACCCCAGGCUUUAUUUAAGGAUCUCUUCUCUUUCCUUUUUCUCUCUUAUCUACUGUUAGGGGUUUAAAAGGAUGGAGAAGGGUGGAAGAAGGAAGGAUGCACAAAGUAGAAAAGACUAGCUACAGUUAGUAUUAAUUAUAAACUUGAAAAAUUAGAAUUACUUGAAACAUGGCCUCUGAGAAUUGUCUGUGGGGGAUUAUUUUAAUUAGGUUAAGGUAGGAAGAUACACCCAUUGUGGAUGGUACCAUUCCCUAGGCAGUGGAUUUCAGAAUGCAUGAGAGUAGAGAAAGCAAGCUGGGUGACACCUUGACUCCCCCGAAAUGAUAGACUGUAACCUGGAAUUGUAAACCAAAUAAGCUCUUUAUCCCUUAUGGCUUUCAGCAGAGCAGCUAUGAAACUAAGAAAGACUAUUAACCGCUCUUUCUGUGUGAUGAACAGCAUCACCAACUGUAGGCUCACACUGUACAGACUUCUAGGAAAGAUCCAUCCAGUAUCAUUAGACUGUACUCAUCAGAUGGCAGCCCAUCCCAUGUCCCCCACCUCUAGUAGCCACGAUAGUGUCCUUGCCCUUUCAGGCAAAACCAGCUCUUGAUAUGCUCCUGAACUAGCUCUUCCAGGACUGUUUCCUCAGUCACAGGAAUCCCACUGCAUCAUCCACAGCUCCACCCAUCCUCCUACCCCAAGAUCCCUAGUCCUUUCUUCAAAACACAUUGCGAACCACAUUGUUGUGUCACAGCCCUCCAGACUCUGACCUAGCAAGUCUCUUGCUGAAAGACGGACAGUCCUAACUAGUCUCCAUUUCUACUCUUAAUCCUUUAAGACUGUCACGGCAACACCGAAACCAUUCUAGUAAAUAUGAGUUGAAUCCCAGUGUCAGCCUCUGCUCGGAGCCAUGCACAAGGACUUUCCAUUUCACAUGGUGGAAAGCCUGCUCCUUGCAGCAGCCCACAGGGCCUGAGUGAUGCAGCACCCUUCCCACCUCCAGAACUCAUCUCUUGUUAAGCUUCCUACAGCCAAGCUGGCCUCUGGGUUCCUCCUCAUGCAAGGAUCACACAUACCAGACAGCCUUUGCACUUACAAAGCCCUUUGCCUGGAAUGGUCUUGCCCUAGAUAGCUACUCAAAUGGCUUCCUCUCUCCCUUACCAAAGUUACAUCCUCAAUGACAUCUUUGCAAGAAAACCCCUUCAAUGCUUCACCUUUUCCUGAUAUGUUAAUUUAUUUUCCUCCUCAAUAUUUAAAACUACUGGUAUGUUAACUGUUUUUAACUUACUCAUUUUACUUACCUCUGUAUCCUUUAUCAGAUAAUGGCCCCAGACAGCAGGUAAUGCUGUCUGUUUGGGUCACUGAUCUAAUCUCAGCAAUGAUGCAUAGCAGACGCUCAAUGGACUCUUGAGUAAGGGGGCUUGGUGAAAAUGAUGUGUGACUCUGCUAACAGUGGGGCAGUCCCAGCUCAGAACAGUCUGAAAUUAAUGUAUAAGUUAACUCAAACAUAAUGUUUAGUUUAUAUGUUUAAAUAAUGCCUUCAGAAUGAUUCCUUUAGGGUAAGCUACACUCCGUCAUGGUACAGAGCCAGUCAAAGCUCAGCAGGAGGGCUGAGCGGCCCGUCCACACACGGCUCAGCGUAAGGGUCAAUUUUCUUUUCCCAUCAUGCCUUCCUUUUGUUUUUUUUUGUUUUGUUUUGUUUUGUUUUGUUUUGUUUUUGUUUGUUUGCUUGCUUUUUUUUUUUUUCUUCAGACAGGAGCUCAUGCAGCCCAAGAUGGUCACAAGUUUACUAUGUAGCUCAGGAUGACCUUGUACGAAGUUGAUGCUCCUGCCUAGGCCUCCUGACAGCUAGGAUUACAGGCAAGCACAGCAAGCCCACGUUUCUCUCCUCUUUCCAUGAGCAAACAGACACAGCAGCAAGAGAAUGGCUGCUGUGACCCAGGCCAAAUGGUGUGGAAUGAAAAGGAAGGAGCCAGCAUAGUGAACGGGAAAUGCAUCUCCUGUGGGGAAAAUUCCAGUUUCCCUUGACGGUGGUGCCUCUUACUGAGAGGAAAACUCCCCGAAGGCAAGAGCUGUACUGCCUCAGUGAGAAGCCCAGAUAGUAAAAUGUCCGUGUCUCAUAAAAAGCUCCAUCCAAUCAUUGUGAGCCAAAAACUAAGCCAUCAGCAAUCUGAAGCAGUGACUGUGAGGGCCACCUGUUUG